CUUUUACAUAGCUGUUUGUGAUGCUAAAGCUGGGAUUCCCAAAACUGUCUUGCCCUUUUGUCCGCUCUCCUUCUGUCAGGCUCAGCCGAAGGAGGGCGCUAGAGCGAGGCCGCAAGGCUGGAGGAGGGUGAAGGGACUGCUCUUCUGUUUCCUGCUCCCUUCCUGUUUUCUUAUGGUUUCUGCGAGUGUCACCCCAGCAGCCCUUUCUCAUCCAGCGCUAGUAAUUCCCUCUGCAGAAGGCGCUGAAGCCAGUCUGCCGUUUUUCCAAUAAUUGCAAAACCAGCCUCACGGGCCCCCAUCAUGGUCACCAGCAGCGGACCAGUGUGUGCCUCUCCGUCACCAGAGUUUUGGGUCCCUGCACAGUGGGACCCUUCUCUAAGUUUCUAAAUUUUAAUAAUUCCAGACACUUCUCUUUCUUCCCCUCUGACGUAAGGAUGACGGUGCUUCCUGUAGCUGUAGCCGUUAUGACCUUAGAAUUCUUUUCACCUUUUCAAUCUCCUAGUUAAAAAUUUUAUGCAUGGUUAACCAUUCUUGUAUUGAAUUCUCUGUUUUUAAAAAGCCUCAGCUAAGGCAUUAAUCCUGCUUAGACCUGGGUCAGGUCCUUAAGUCAGCUCACUGAGGGUUUUCUUCAAGGAUAGUUGUGAAGAUUUGUUGACCUAAUGCAAGUAAAACAUUUCGAAAAGUGCCUGGUACAUGGUAUUCAGACAGGAAAUUCUCCAGAGGGCAGAAGGGAAAUUCAUUUCAUUACUACAGCAUGAUAGAAAUAUUUCUUAAAGAACAUCAAAUUCCCUUUGUUCCAAUUCAGUGCUCUCCAGGAAAAUAAAAGAUGAAAAGCAAGAAAGGGAACUGCUCAAGAUCAAGAAGCUGGAGCAAAUCGGGAGGAGUGAAAGGAAGUCGCCCCCCCGACAGUUCUGGAGCAUGCCAAGGGAGCUAUGGCUAGACGUGGGUAUGGAAAAAGGAGGCGCUCAAUAUCGCAGGCAGAUGAUUAAUAAAUGAAGUAAAAUUAAGAAAAGAUCAAGAGAAAUUAUUGCUUUAGAAAUCAGAAAAUGAAAAAAUGUAACUAAAAACUCUAUGACAAUAAACUUUCAGAGUUGC
rnacentral:lncRNA from 1 species